rnacentral:rRNA from 1 species
CAGUAGCCACGGUAAUACGUAGGGUGCGAGCGUUAAUCGGAAUUACUGGGCGCAAAGCGUGCGCAGGCGGUUCGCUAAGACAGAUGUGAAAUCCCCGGGCUUAACCUGGGAACUGCAUUUGUGACUGGCGGGCUAGAGUAUGGCAGAGGGGGGUAGAAUUCCGCGUGUAGCAGUGAAAUGCGUAGAGAUGUGGAGGAAUACCGAUGGCGAAGGCAGCCUCCUGGGAUAACACUGACGUUCAUGCCCGAAGGCGUGGGUAGCAAACAGGAUUAGAUACCCGAGUAGUCCCUGUCUCUUAUAC